GAUGUCUAAAGGAAAGAUGACAGGAGACAGAGGGUUAGAGCUUUGGGUCCAGGAGCCCUGCUGCCCAGUACCCCUUAGAGAGUACCCCUUACAAGGCUGAGAGGUGACAAGGAUCCACUCCCCAACAACCAAAGGUCUUCACAACAACAUUCCCAUUGCACUUGUACCAGCUCCAGGCUAAAUGCAGCUCCUGACACAAAUGGCUUCCCUGGCAGCAGAACUCAGCAGGAGGCUACUGAGGGCCCAGAAGUGACAGUCUGUGUCAAAUUGUCUGGUUUCUGCUCUGCAAACACUCAUCAACCACCUCUGCUGACAGCAAUUAUGUAUUUCCUUGAAUCCUCAUGAGACACCAAGUACCCAAGUGCCCUACCCAAUAUUAAACACCAGGGAAGAUGUGCAGAAUAUCUGGAAAUGGUGUGAAUGGGGAAUGUUUCUGGCUACACAGGCUUGCUGUGAUCUGUGCCUCACCCCUGGCUUUCAGGAGAGCUGAGGUGACCACUGGGGCGGCAGAGGAAACAAAGUAGACAUAGUUUGUAUGAAAAAGAACGCAGGGAUAGCAAAAUAUACAAAAAGGAGCAAGAUCCCAAGGCUGCUUCUGGGCUUUGAAUUGGCUCUUGGAAAUUCUACCAUAAAGCAGCCUCUUUCUCCCUCACACCUAUAGUCCAUUAGCCAAGAACAGUUAUUCAGAUAAACCACAUCUGCCACUGUGGUUUAGGAGCCUAUGAAAUCAGAUUCAUCAAUCAUUCAGUAAUGGUACUCACAGAAAAAAACCCAAAUGCUUCUUGAUCGAGAAAAUCAGAAAUGUUAAUGCUGGAGUUGUGAUUGGCAGCAUCUACAGGUAGCAACACAACUGAGCCUGAUCCAUGAACAAACUUCUGCCUAGUCUUGGAUAACCUGGAGUCCCCCAUAACCCAUGCUUUGGGAAAAGCAGAGCUAGAUCCCCACGCAGAGGCCACAGGAAUAAAAACCAGCUGGCUUUAAAGCAGCUCUCUGCCCCACUGGAAGCUUGCAAAUCUUGCAUAUUUCUAACGCAACUCUUGCUGCAUAUCUUGAUUUUCUCCAUAACAGACUGAGACACAGAGUCAGUGUUUAUUUCAGCAAUUCAUCUGAGUGCUGCAGACACGAAGCCCAGGGCUGAUCUCUUUCCCACCUGGAGUUGUGUAGUGUACAACCUGCAGGAUGGGCAAGCACUUGUACCCUCCCAUCCCCUCCCUAGUGCAGCACCUCAAAAAUCCUCACCUGGAAGGGGGGAAAAAACCACCAAAGCCCUCAGUGGCCAAAGCUCUGGCUGUGUCUAUAGCAGAUCAUUAUGAGAUGACAGACUCCUGCUAACAAGUCUCAGAGCAGCAGGCCUCCUGCAGCGUAGCACAAAAUCUUGCAGGCAUAUAAUAGCCCAGUUAAACCAGACCCACAGAAUGGGUUAAUCCAGAAGCUACCUGUCUGCAAGCUGCUGCUACAGCUGCACUGUGCUUGCACACAAGCCCCAGGAUCCACAGUUUCUAGUAAGCCAGAACAGCAUGCUUCUUCUUUCCAGUCAGAAGUUUUAAGCCAGGAUUACCACUCCAUCUCAAGCUCCUGAGCAAAUAACAACUUAAGACCUUUUCCAGAGGAUUGCCUGGUUUCAUACUGUACAUGCUUAUCCCCAGUGAUUUCCUGGCUGUUUUCUGUCCUCCCAGAAGUGCAGACGUUCCCCAAGAGCAGAAGUCCCCUCUCGGUGCCCGGCCCGGGGCACAGCGGCUGGGCUGCGCUAUCGUGCUCUGCACGGCCCUCUCCCAGCAACCGCAGCAUCCGCUGAUCCUGCCCCAGCAGGGAACGGAUUCUCCUGCCACUGCCGCGGGCCCCACUCAGACGGAAAGGAAGAAGAAAGGCCCCGCACUGGCUGUGGUUUGGGGCGAUGUUUAACUGUCCCAAAGGCGGCCGGGCCGGGCCGGAGGUGAGCUCAUUGCCCGUGAGCCUGCGGCUCCGCUGAUGUCAGCGCUCAGCUCCGUGGCAGGAAGUGAUACGGGAGCAGGAGCCCCAGAGGAAACUGAAUUGAGCAACUGAGGUUAACUCCUCUGGCAUUUAAUAAUGUGGCAUUUCCAGGGACUUUCUAAGAACCCGGGCUGGGCUGCACACCAAAGGCAGGAGGGAGCUGCUCUGCUGCCACAUGGCAAACCAGGCAACAUCUGCCUGCCCUGGGCUUCUGGCCCCUUCCAUCCCCAGGGAAAACAUUUCAUAAAGAGCUUCCUACAAGACUCCCUGAAGGUAGGACAUAGAUGCACUCAUGUUUCCCUGGAAUCUACCUCAGAAACAGUCCUGAAUGGUAUAGAGUCAGAUUUUGUAUUUUUGCAGGGUUCAGGUGAGGUUGGGGCUCUGGGUGGUGCAUCUAUACAUUCCUACAACAGCAGUAACAGUUAUCUGGCAUCUCAUCUCAGAGAACCUUGGAUAAAUUGGAGCCUUCCACAGAAACUGGCCAAUGCCAUCAUUGUCUGUGCUGCUGAAGCACCUCUGCCAGUGCCAGCCACUGCCAGAGAGCUCUGCCUUACAGUACAAGCCAGGAAGGAGAGAGGAAGACCAUCCAGGAAGCAUUCUGGAGUUAAUCCAGAGUACUAACAUGUCCCAAAUACCAAGGGAUCUUCUAUUCAUAAAAUUUCUCAAGUAAAGCAAGACAUUAACAACAGACUGUUUUCACUUUUUACACACCAGCCAGACAAUUUCAUCGAGCUGUACCUGUAGCAGUGAUCAGAACCUCAAAUACUGGACUUCUUGGAAAGACAGACAGAUUUUCUUUCCCUUUCUUUUUUUCUACCUCCACUUCUGGUGAAUUAGUCACAACUGAAUUAGAUGGAAGGAAUGUGCCUGGAAGCCUUCCAAAUGCUCCUCUGUUUAUAGGAUUUACCAGGAAGACUACAGCCAGUGCUUUGUGGUGGUGGAGGAGAAACACUGGGAGGAAACUGCUGAACAGACAGUGGCAACACAGAAGGCUGGGAGAUUUGGAGUCUAGCAACAUUUUGCAGAAAAAAGCCACACCAUGAGACCUGGGACUUCCACCACCAGCUGACCCUUCGUCCAGCAGGGAACACUUGCAGGAGAAAGUCUCAGGAGAGUUUACUGUUGCCAUUUCUGAUAUAAAAGCAAAGAGUCACCAAGGACUUACUUCUGGUAGCUCCACCCAAACACAGUUGGAACUUCAGACCUUUCAUUGAAGGCUACAAGACUGCCUAAGUUCUCCACAAGCUUUAGGAUCGUGAAAACAAGGUUAUCUGUGCCAGCUGGGAAGGGAGAUAUAGAACAAAGGGCAAGUUAAAUCACAGUUGUAACACCAAAAGCCCUGCAGAACUCUAAUUCCACAUGGUGGUUUCUGGAUUAUGAGUGGUCUCUACACUUGACCCAAAAGGCACUGGGUGACAGGAUGAAACAGGCAAAUACAUAACAUUUCUUACAGGAAAAAGGAUGCCCAUUGUCACCACCAUAACCUUUUACCAAUCAGCAAUAUCAGACAGAAAUGAAUGCCAGGAAUUCCUGGCCAACGCUCCUGCUCUUGCUGCAGAAAUCCACUGGUAAAGAACAUAAAUCCAAGGCACCCUCCUGGUACAGAGAUGGCACUAGAAUGGGCACAGGUUGUUUUGUGCAUGGGAAGCCAACAUGUCUGCAUAUCCACUUCCUGCUCUUGAGUGUUGAGGUCUGAUAGGUGCAGACAACUACCUGCACAUGCACUUUCAGAGUCUUUUUAAAACUCAAGUGUUUGUGCAGGUGUGAUCAAGUCACUUUAAUUCAACCAGAGGAGAAGCAUGGCAUGGCCAUGUGAUUGCAAACAGUGAAGUUUCCUUGGCUUGGCAAAUUACUGUGUCCACUGGGCUGUGGCAGUACUCCCUUUUAGUUCAACUCCAAUACAGAGCAAGGCAUUUUGGUUUAAAUCACUGGGAAGGCAGUAUCUUUUCAUUUGGGUGGUUUAAACAAAGGCACUACUCUGCUCAGUGAGGAUAACAGUGCCCAUGCCAGAGCUGAGCUCUGGUAUCUUAACCACAUACAAUUAUACAGUCUUGGAGUGGAAAAUCAUCUGUCUAGACCAUAGAAAAGUACUACCUACGUAGGAAGCUGGUUUUUUCUGAGUGCAGCACUGCUGCAAACACCUAGCCCUGAACUUGUUUCAAACCAUUAAACUGCCAGGGUUUAUCUGAAUGUUUCCGUGAUCCCUCCUUGUCUAAGACCUGGGUGCAAAGAAGAGGCCUGUAACCCACUCAGUAGCAGAAAAUACUUCAGACAAUCCAGCUGAUCCUGUUGGAUGUCCAAGUGUCAGCAUUAGAGCCAAGCCAUGGAGCUCUACAGGACAUUGGCUUGCUCUAGGCUGUUGCAAAAACCACCAACUGGAACAGUUUUACCCACUUGAAAGCGAGAAAAUCCUACAUUUAUCUCAGUGGUCAAUGCAAGUGCUUGGGAGCACUGCCAAAUAAUAUUUAUCAGCCCAGCUGAAGGUUUUAUAACUCAGCUGUGUAAGUUCACAUCACAGAGAACACCCUGAUACAGCAAGCAGCCAGUCUGGGAGUACUCAACUUGCUCUUACACUAUUUCAUUUUUAUUAGUUAUUAGACACAAGUAACAGUUUUGAAACGAGAUGACUUGUGAACUGAACAGAUUUGCUCAUGUGUACAACCCAGCAAGGAGAGGAUCAGCCAAUAUUCCUGUAACCAAACUGGGGCAGCUUGCCAGCACCUGGGCAUCCAGUGCCAGUAGGUUUUGUUGGCAAAAGGGGGAAGAGUAUCCACACACCUGGAGGUCUGAAGAGGGAGAAACUGAAAUGUGAGGAGUUAAGUGUCUGCCCCACCUUCCCCUGUAAGCAGAACCACACACAUAAAUUGCCAGGCUGGCUGGCAAGUUUUAAAAACAUCAUUGCAGAUGAAAGAGGUGUAGGGUGGCUUUACACAUCAUCAAAGCAGCAGCUGACCAGUACAGCUGAGGGGCAGGAUGGCUAUGGAGCCUCUGUUUUGCCCAAUACAACUCAAGUGGCUGCUGCCAAAGCAGGGACAGACUAGAUAGACCAGCGACUUCUGCUGGGAAUAAGCAUGGAGAGGGAAGGCCUUUCCCAGCAGCUCUUAUAAUUAUUGUCUCAAUUUUUUAUUUUUGGACUUCUUGCAGCUGAUCUCUGUCACUUGGCUGAGUCUCAUCAGCUGCCUCACUGCCCUUAGCUCAGCGUUUUUCUUACACCACCAAUUGCAGGAUUACCCUGCAUCACUCUUCUUGGGACUGCAAAAUGCAGUUUUUAUCUGCACUGCCAACUAAUCUUGAACCAAACUGCCAAAAAAGCUGUGUGUGCUGCCCAGACUCCUCAGUUCUAGGGAAGAAAGACAAUCUGAUUUAACUGUUCUCUCUCACCUCAAGCUAAUGCCCCAUGAGAGUAACAGAACUCUAAUUACGCAUGAUGGCUGAGCAAGUUAAAUAAUACCAGCAUUGUAGCUGUGGCAGUCCCUGCUUCCUCAUCUUGCUUAUUAAAAGGUGCUAACAUGACUGCAGCCUCUCCAAUGGCUCCAGAUAGCUGAAUCACUGCAGUUAGGACAUGACUGAGCCAGAAGGGAUGGGGUGGGAAUGCCUUUAUUCCCACAUCCUACUAGUGUUAUGUAGCUGGGAGUGAGCUACCUACACCCAGCUGUGCAGAUAUGGAUCUCUUCUCAGAUAUGGUGCCUCUUCAGCACCCUGGUAAACUCAUUGAAAGGUUACAGAAAAAUUACAAUUACAGUUCAAAAUUAGCAGUAAUAUACCAAGCACAGCAGUUGGCAGGUUUUUUUUUUCUACCAGAACUGUUUCCAGAACAGGCUGAAAUGAAGAACACACAUGUAGGUCAGUGCUUGCCUUACAAGGCCAAGAUCUCACCUGGGAACUUCAAGAGCUAAAGCAAAACCACCAACCCAUUACUCUAGCUCUAGCCUGUGUUAUUGACCCUGCACCUUCCCUGACAUCACUUCACAACUUAAAAAAAGUAAUAAGGGGAUUAAAAAUAUAUCUCUGAACCUCUAAAUCCCACAGGCCCAGUCCUUCCAUCUAGUCCUCCCAGAAAUCCAAGGCACUUGCUCGGGAACAUAUUGCCAACAAUGGCCACAGUGAGAAAGCAAAGGCCCUGCCCACGGUAUCAGGCUCACUUUAUAACCCAGCACUGUCCCCGCAGGAACCAAUUGCUGCAGCAGGGAGGCUGGAGGCAGCAGAUAAGCCUUAGCUGGGUGAUAGGGAUCAGCUGCCCAGUUAUCAAGGGAGUACAAAAAUCAAAUAGAUUUUGAUUUAGUAGUUACAGCUUUUCAUAUAUUCUGGGAAAAGAAAAGCGAAGGACCAGGGAGGGGGAAGGGGAGUUAGAAGUCUUUUUCCAGGGUGUUAUGAUGUCAGAUCUUUUUAGCAAUGAAUUUCUAGGUUAAGCAGUUACUGAGACAUGUGGCUGCAGAGAACUGCAGUCAGCACAGGCGUUUGUAGGAGGAAACUGAAAGCAGUGGAAGAAAGGCAAAGGAUCGCACAUCUGAGGGCUGCAAACGCUGCCUGAAGGAAGCAAGACAGUAUAACCGAGUCAUUCCCAGCAGGCACGAAAACAAAGAACAGCAGCACUGCACCCUCACAGAGCCACUUCCCAGUGUUACAAUUCAUCUGUCCCAUCUGGGGUAGGAAGUUCACUUAGGCCUUCUCUCAGAUGUGACCCAAGCUUUGGGCUGCAGUGCCAACUACAUCCACUGCUCCAUGCCAAGUGUCCGGCUCCACAACUCUGUGAUGGGGGCAGAUCAUCACCAGUGGAUUAGACCAACAAACAUCAGCAGUGUCGCUGUUUUAAGUCCAAAGGAGAGCAGAUGAAGGUAAACACACUGAAUUUCAGUACCAGCAAUAGAAUACCCAAUGAGCCAGGCAGAGCUCAGUGGACAAAGCAGCAGAAGCAAAGAUGAACCUUUGAUUGCAUAAAAUUUGACCCAGUAAAGCUUGGCAUUCAGGUACAAUUCUGCUGUCACAAACACGGCUAUGACAAGGGCUACAUUUGUAAAUCUCCAUCUAUUCACCAAAUAUUAGCACUUCUGGCAUAAGCUUCUAGUCAGAAGUUUUGGAAGCCGCAGCCAUUUCAAGAGAAAUCUUUCACACAGCAUAUAAAAAGUAUUCUUUAACACAUAAUGGCUUGCGAUUAGGCUUACAACCAAAAACUACAGGAAUUUAAUUCAGAAUUUUCCCUGAUAUCAUAGGAUCAAGCACAUAGAGAGAAAGCCAGACCUCUGGAUCCAUUCUUGUGGCACCUUGAAAGUGCCAGCAGGGCACCGUAACUCCUGCUCUCAGCCCCCAGAGCCUGCUCAGCACCUGGGAACAGCAUCCGGCCCCUCUGGGCAGUGCCAAGCACCAAUAGCACAAGAACCUGACUGAACCCAGAUAGGCACAAACAGGGGGACAGUGUUUCUACCACACUGCAAGUGAGACUCAUGGAGGGACCUGAGCCAGUCUUCAUCCUCAGGGAGCUACACACUGCAUUUGUGCUUCUGUAAGCUGCUUCCCAGCUCCAUCUCCAUCCCUGUUAAUUACUGUCGCAGCAGGAGAGUUUCUGGCAUUUCAAAGAAUGGCCCUUGUUAUUAAGCAGGAAAACAGGCAGAAUAGCAGGCAGCUCUACACACAAGGAAACUGUAAGAGAUGCUCUCUUCUUCCUGCAUGGCACAAUUCAUUUGUUUCCCUUGGUUAAAGCAGGAGGAAAGGUGGAAAAGCUGCUCUAACUGGUAGGGAGCUCCCAGCCUCCAGCCAGUCUGCUGGGAGAGGCUGAUGGGGCUGGGAUGUACUGGCAGUAGUAAAUCCCAGCCCCACAGUGUCAGGCAUCCUAGCUCUGACAUUCCUGGCAGGAAACUGUGCAGGACCACCGACUGCAAGUAGUUUGGAUUGAGCCUUCCAGCCCCUCUGCCCUGUGGCAGGCCCUCUUGGUGGGCAUCUGGCAAGAACUCCACAUAAUUGUAGUUAUUCUGCAUCUAGUUGCUUCUGUGGGCAUCUCUAGUUCAAUUUCAGAUACGUCUGCUAUUGAAGCAAGCCUUAACUCUGGUGUUGGCUGGGAUCUUACAUAAAUUUGGCUUUUGAAAUAAUUGGUCCUCCCUCAAUCAGCUGAAUAAGACCAUCACAUCCUUCUGCAGAUAAAUUACUCUUUUCAGUUAGGACCUGCUUCCUGGCAACCUUGCUGGACUCAGAUUUUAAAUACUUCCUAUUGAACAAAACAGGUUAUUUAAAUGGGGGAAAAGAUGUAAAAAGCACAGCUCGCUCUCUCCAGCUGAUUGUCUUUGGAAACAGGACUGGAGGCUGCUGUCCCAGAAGACUGAGCUGCCCUUAUCUCAGGCACUCUGUUAAAAGACUUGGAAUCACUUAUUAAUUUAGUGAAAGCCCCUUAAUUUUGAUCUUUUGUCUGCAUUAAUUGAUUUGCUAUCAAUAACCUGCAUUGAUUAGACCUCCAGACCUGGCAGCCGCUGAAGAUGAAGAGACAGAGACUCUUUCAGAGCAGGAGUUCAAAGCCUGAAAUGAUUAAAAAAGACAGCACCAAAACGGCUGAUAACAAAAAGGUGUCAUUCUUUUUCCAUUCAAGUAUGAAACUCAGGGCAGUUAACCCUUCUGCACCUAAAAACGCUUUCAGGUCUAAGGUAUUUGUAUAACCUAGAGCUAGCUAUUAGAUUUACUCCAUUUUGUCAUUUUAAUUAAAAUAUUAUGGAUGCUCUUAAACACCUGACAGAAUGAGAACCAAGGGAAAAUUUUAUCAGCUUCAGCCACAAAGAGAGCUCGGGGAAAGCAACCUGACCCAGAGAUUGGCUGAGGUGGUGCUCUGGGAUCCCCUCCAGCACACAGCAUUGUAAAGAGUGGUUCACAAAGUCAGAUUUAAUUUGCAGCAGAUCCAAACCAAAUGCAACAGUGAAAUUUAAUAGUCAUCAGUUAAAAUUCUGACAAUAAAGUUUUGAAAGCUGAGAACAGCUUGCUAGUCCAAGAUGCCAGGAAACCAUUAACAAACCAGCUCCCUGUCAGAGUCUGUGCUGGAAUACAGCCCUGGGCUGCUCCCAACUCAGUACCCCCCUGCCUGAGCUACAGCAGGGGCAGGAGCUCUGAAUAUUCACAUACAUUGUUCCUCUCCCAAGAAAACCAAAGGUACUGGCUAGGGAGAGCUCUCAGGCCACCUAAGAGAAGUUGUUUUGGGACAGACACUAGGCAUACAGUGGGAACACCUGAACUACCCUGUAUGCAUCUAGAGGGGAAAAAAAAAAAAAAAAAUCACAGCCAGUGCACACAUCCAAGGAUCCAUGGUCUCAGGUGUCUUUGUCUGGUUCAGAUUCCAAAUCUCCAGUAAUAGCUUGCUAAACAGCACAAGAGCAGCUAUUCACUUUAGCCCAGCAUCUGAAUAAAUCCAGGGGGCUGCUGUCCACCAAAGACACUUAACUUUUGUUUGAGACAUCCAUCUACCUUAAGAGCAAGGCAGUGGUAGCAAGUUCUUUUUUCAUCCAAGCCGUGUCAAGAGCUCUGGCCAACCCCAGCUGUGACAGUACAAACCUUAACAGUGCACCUUCCUAUACCUGCAGAUUUCCCUGUCAGCACGCAUUUCUCUAGGAAUAAAGAAUGUAAUUCUCUUACAGGUUGUUUGGUGGCAGCGCAGAGCGUGGCUCAGGUACAGCACAAAGUAAGUGACAGUUCCCACCCUGCAGAACGAGCUUAUCAGCUGCUGCUCCAGAAGAACCUGGCCGGACCACUCCCCCAGCAUCCCACUCAAAUGUAGUAGAAUUCUAACUCAUGGCUCAAACACACCCUGUGUGACAGCUUACAGAGCAGCACAGCCAGUUCACAUCACAGCACUUCUGCACUGGGAAACUGACACAAACACAGAUUGUACAGAGCUUCUGCAUUCCCACUCUGACAAAAGCACACAGCCACUGGGACUCAAAACCCCUUUCUGUGCAUCUCUGCCAACUCUUCCUUAUGUGAAUGUUCUUAAUAUCCCCCUUCUUUAAUAUCCCUCCUCUCUUUUCCUCCCUCUCCUCCCUGCAUACAUUACUUGUGGGUGCUAAAUACCCCUGCAGCUGCAGCCACUCUACACAAGCUGCUGUCCUGCUCUCCUCAGGGGUCUCACAUUUACUGAGUAUGUCCUGCACAUGUCCAGAAAUCCCAGAAAAUUGGACCAGACUCCGAAGUUCUAGCUAUACAAAAUUUCUGGGAGAACAAGGAAUGUGUUGGCAUCCAUGCUCUGGUCUCACACUAUAAGGAGAGGUGAGUUCCUGAGCCCUCAGGCUCACAAACAGCUCUGGAUAUGCCCAAGCACUGCCACACCUGUGUCUGCUGGGAAGGAAGCAUCUUACACAUCACAGGAGAAAUAGUCCACUGAAAUUAAAGAUCCUGUAUUUUCUAAAAAUCCUUUCCUUUUGUAUGGAAAGGCUAUGUCAGCCUUUGUCCUCCACAGACUAAAUGUGAAAAUGAUUGGGACAGUGAAGCACUGGAAUAGAUUGUCCUGGGAAGUUGUAUCUCCAGUUUUUUUUGAACGGGCUAAACAGUCAUCUGUCAAAAAUGGUCUAAGUGUUAAAAACCCUGCCUUGGGGAAUAGAGGAAAAGGAAGAAAUGACCUAAUAAACUUUAUUUUCUGUUUCUGUAAUUUAAAUAGAA